rnacentral:rRNA from 1 species
CGAAUCGGCGAGGUUACUUGAGUAAAUUAGAGUGUUCAAAGCAAGCCUUACGCUCUGAAUACAUUAGCAUGGAAUAACACGAUAGGACUCUGGCUUAUCUUGUUGGUCUGUAAGACCGGAGUAAUGAUUAAGAGGGACAGUCGGGGGCAUCGUAUUUCAUUGUCAGAGGUGAAAUUCUUGGAUUUAUGAAAGACGAACUUCUGCGAAAGCAUUUGCCAAGGAUGUUUUCAUUAAUCAAGAACGAAAGUUGGGGGCUCGAAGACGAUUAGAUACCGUCGUAGUCUCAACCAUAAACGAUGCCGACUAGGGAUUGGCAGGUGUUUCGUUGAUGACCCUGCCAGCACCUUAUGAGAAAUCAAAGUUUUUGGGUUCCGGGGGGAGUAUGGUCGCAAGGCUGAAACUUAAAGGAAUUGACGGAAGGGCACCACCAGGCGUUAACAAAAGCAGAAGCUCAGCGCCUAAGAGUCGAUGGGAAACCAUUGGCUAGUGCUUGGGUGUGUGUGUUACACAACACACUCGAGUGCAACACUGUUCAAAUUGCGGGGAAGCCCUAAAGCUUUGCUAACCAAGCUGAGUGUGAAAGCACUCAGUGGCCGGGUUAAAGACCUCGGGUAUGGUAAAAUCAGCAAAGAUGCAACAAUGGGCAAUCCGCAGCCAAGCUCCUUCAGCCACUUAGGCUGUGGAGAAGGUUCAGAGACUAAAUGGCAGUGGGCCAACUUGUUGGCUUAAGAUAUAGUCCGUCCCAGCUGAAAGGCUGUCUGCUAGAGGAAGACCAUUCGAGGUCUGAGAGCUAGCAGAGGGUAGGAGGGAGUCUUUUUCCACCUACCUGGAGGAAACGGGAGCCUGCGGCUUAAUUUGACUCAACACGGGAAAACUUACCAGGUCCAGACACGGGGAGGAUUGACAGAUUGAGAGCUCUUUCUUGAUUCUGUGGGUGGUGGUGCAUGGCCGUUCUUAGUUGGUGGGUUGCCUUGUCAGGUUGAUUCCGGUAACGAACGAGACCUCAGCCUACUAAAUAGUCACGUCUACCUCGGUAGGCGCCUGACUUCUUAGAGGGACUAUUGGCGUUA